UACGGAGGAUGCAAGCGUUAUCCGGAUUCAUUGGGUUUAAAGGGUGCGUAGGCGGGCUAUUAAGUCAGUGGUGAAAUCCUGCAGCUUAACUACAGAACUGCCAUUGAUACUGAUAGUCUUGAGUUUGGUUAAGGUAGGCGGAAUGUGUAAUGUAGCGGUGAAAUGCUUAGAUAUUACACAGAACACCAAUUGCGUAGGCAGCUUACUGAGCCGACACUGACGCUGAGGCACGAAAGCGUGGGGAUCGAACAGGAUUA
rnacentral:rRNA from 1 species